UAAAACAAUUGUGCUUUGAAGAAUUGAUAUAAUGUCGAAAAAGAACGAGCUAUCGUCACUGACUAAUUUAUUGUCGAAAGGAUGCAUUCUAAGACGGCCGCGACAAUUGAGGUUUUCAUCGAGUUCCAAAGUAAUAUUACGUGGUGACUGACUAUUCAGUGAGUUCCUUUAAAUUCAACGUUACAUGCACUCAAUUGGAUUAAGAUGAUGUUAGUGAGUCGCAGAUUUACAUAAUUCGUCAUCAUCUCACGGAUCUCGAAGAGUAGAUAUAAUUGCUCAUCACUUUGAUCCUCAUGAAUAAAAAUGAUUGGCAAUGUUUCUUUGGAAUGGAAGUGACAGGAGUUCACUCACCGAAUGAUGUCUCGUCUAUAGUGGCUCUUCCGAUCCAAUGUUCCGGAUAUUUAUUAAGUGAUCGAUAAAUCGUCCUGGCAUUUAAAGCCAUAUAGAACUUGAUGUUAUAUUUAUGCCGAGCUCCUUAUAUUUCUUCUGGAAUACCUUCUGGAAAAAACGAAAUUAUGAAUACAGAGGCGUCUUGUCUAGCUCGAGGUACGCAGCUCACGUUGUUUAAAUUAUUAAUCUAACCCAGAGUUACGCCGGCGGCCGCUUUGCAGACUCAUGUUUACUCACGUUUACAUCAUAUCCUAGUAAUGCCCAAUCCGGUAACAAGGACUGAAGAGACAUACAAGUGCUUAAUUUUCCAAACUGUGUAAUUGGUUGACAUUAUUAUAUUAGCAGCUGAUUGGUGGAUAGUGGUUUGGGCCUUUGUAUUAGCGCUCAAUGCGUAAUGGCAUUUUAUGCUACAAGAACUCAGGGUAUUUUAUGUUCGAGGAAUGAUAAACGGUUCGAGGCGAA